rnacentral:rRNA from 1 species
AUUGAACGCUGGCGGCAGGCCUAACACAUGCAAGUCGAGCGAGCGGCGGACGGGUGAGUAAUGUAUGGGGACUGCCCGAUAGAGGGGGAUAACUACUGGAAACGGUGGCUAAUACCGCAUACUGUCGUAUAACCCAUAGGGGAUUAGCUAGUAGGUAAGGUAAUGGCUUACCUAGGCGACGAUCCCUAGCUGGUCUGAGAGGAUGAUCAGCCACACUGGGACGGAGACACGGCCCAGACUCCUUCGGAGGUAGCAGUGGGGAAUAUUGCACAAUGGGCGCAACCCUGCUGCAGCCAUGCCGCGUGUAUGAAGAAGGCCCUAGGGUUGUAAAGUACUUUCAGUCGGGUGGCGUUACCGACAGAAGAAGCACCGGCUAACUCCGUGCCAGCAGCCGCGGUAAUAC